GCUACUUCUUCUGAAGUGGAUACUCAGAUUCUGUGCUGGCUUUAGGAGGAACAAAACAAAUACCUCGGGACUGACCACAGCACCUGACAGACAAAACCUAAUGAAGAGUGUUCUCCAAGGGAAAUCCUUCUCGCACAGAUGAAUUGAAAACAAAGAACAGUGUAAGAAAAUGAAAACAUCUUCAAUAUAACUUAUGAUGAAGACCACUUCCUCUCACGGAUGUUACAGUUUACAGAGGGAAGAAAGAGAAGAAUUGAAGGAGGAACCCACAGAGCUAGGAAAUUCACAACCAGUACUCCAUGCAUCAAAGCAAGUUAGCCAAGACAAUUGCAGAUAUAUGGAGAGAUAUAAGUCAUGCCCUAUGUUUAAUUACUCAGCUAGCUGAAAGAACACAGAGUUACAUCUGCCUAGUUCCUGCAAAUGGGAGGAAAGGACUUUACACUGGCUUUACAAAGGACUGGAGCUAACCCCUCCCCAAACAGCUAAUCUGCUAAGAAGGAUGGGUAGAUAAGCAGGUGCUCAC